rnacentral:rRNA from 1 species
UACGAAGGGGGCUAGCGUUGCUCGGAAUCACUGGGCGUAAAGAGCUCGUAGGCGGUUUGUCGCGUCUGCUGUGAAAACCCGAGGCUCAACCUCGGGCCUGCAGUGGGUACGGGGCAGACUAGAGUGCGGUAGGGGGAGAUUGGAAUUCCUGGUGUAGCGGUGGAAUGCGCAGAUAUCUGGAGGAACACCGGUGGCGAAGGCGGCAUCCUGGACCGGCAUUGACGCUGAGGCGCGAAAGCUAGGGGGAGCAAACGGG